rnacentral:tRNA from 1 species
CAGUAUUUGCACUGUUUUCAAGGGGCCAUAGCUCAGCUGGGAGAGCGCUUGCCUUGCACGCAAGAGGUCGGGAGUUCGAUCCUCCCUGGCUCCACCACAUUGUUUUUGCUUUUGCAAAAAAAACUAAGUUUUCAUUUUUUUAAAAACUUAAAUAAAGUCAUACUGUGAUUUUAUUUAAGUUUUUAUGCCACACUUACGGGUGUGGAGCUCUUUAACAAUUUAAUACAUGAAGUAAAGUUUGUAAAUAUACAAUAUAACAACGCGAAGACUGUUGUGAUGACAGUUUUCAUUGGUGUAUUGCAUUGACACAACAAUUUCAAAAAAUAUGGAUUCUCAUCGGCGGUAUAAAAGCCGCCAAUGAAAUAAAAAAGAAUUCACCGAUUGUGAUUUAUCGCAAUUUGUGACUUCAAGGUGAAAUACGAAAUCAUAAAACACCAAGUUACAAGGCUUUGGAUUUUGUUUAUUUGUAAAGAGUUUUUGAGUUCUUGAAGAUAUUUAGUUUUUCUAAAUAACUAAUUGAACAAAGAAACAACAUAACAAAUAGAUAAAAGUUGAAGCCAUAACAGAUACUUUGGGGUUAUAUGGUCAAGUGAAUAAGUGCAUACGGUGGA